GGUGUAUGGGAACUGCUGAGUCACGGCCUGAACCUCUGAUUGAUCACCUGAGAUGAGCCAUGAGUCAGCCAGAGGAGCACAGGUGAAGGCCAUUCACCUGUGCUGCCGGAAGGGGUGGAGCCAGGCUCCAUCCUUCCUAGACCUAUUUAAGAGCUGGUUACCAGUGGGGAAGGAUCUCUUCUGGAGAUUGCCUCUAUUGGUGUUUUGUGGUGAGCCUAGCCUAAGGGACUCCAUCCCAUCUGACUUCUUAUCCUAAAAGAGUGAAAUAGAGUCUUCUGUCAAGAAAGUUGGAGCAGCUCUUGGACAUCAUCCAAAUAAGGAGGAAAAAUAUAAAUCAGGUCCCCAAAGAGUUUAGAGAUGAAAAUUUAUGAAGUUGUCUGCAAAAGAUGUCAUCUCAGUGAAGGGUGGUCUAUCUGCACAUUGAUCCAAGGCUGUAUGCUGAGGGACACUUAAGGUCAAUUAAUACAAUGAACUGAGUAGAAGAAUAAAGAUACAAGAUGGAGUAUCUUUAUGUCUGACUAUCAAAAAUCUUUCAAGAUUUGUGAAAAUGUAAAAGUUAGAAGAAAUCAGCUUCUCCUAUAAAGCUUAUUACUUCAAAGACAGAAGAUGUGUCUGUUCCAAAGAGUUUAAAACCCAUAUUACACACUUAGCCACCAGACCUUUGAGAAUGGGACAUAUUCCUUGCAGAAACCAAGUCAAAAUUCACAGGAUGACCCAGGAGUGGAACUGGGUAGUUUAAUGUUUAAGGUUUUUUUUUUUCUUCAGGUAGGCAGAGUCUCAGGUACUGGUGCUUUCCCCCCAGCAUUAUGUGCUCUGUGCAAAGAUUGCUUUAAGAAAAUAUAUCAUUUUUUUCAGUUACCAUUCAGA